GGACACUCUGCUUGUUCAAAAGUGUAAAGUUUAAGGAGUAUUUGUGCCAUGUUUGGUGCUUACAUCACCAUUUGAAGGAUUUCUCUAUAAAUAUUCUCUUAUCUGCUGCACUAAUCCAAUUCUGUUUCCAAGCCAUGUUUACAUAAAGCUGACGUUGAUGCACUCUCCCAAGUGCCUUUCCCUGUGCAGUGGAGCCAGCAAAGACUGUCGCUAACAACAUGGAGUCAGCUAUUUCUAACGAAGUGUGGCAGCCCAUAUCAUAACACAUAGUCUAAUUCAUGAUCUGCGCAUGCGUUAUCAUUCAAGUAACUUUAGCUUUGGAGACAUCGCUGAACUGGCUAGUUUGCGAAUGCUGAUGCUUCUUAAUCGGGAAAAAAAAAAAUCUUAUCAGUGUAUCUAUAUUCAUGAUGCCAGUCUGUGCUCCAGUCUACGGUGUGUUUCAGUUUUGCCAUAACCACACGACUCGAGUGCACGCAUGGGAAGGGAGACAGGGUUCACUUUACUGAGUUGGUUGCAUUUUGAAACCGCAACACUAGAUACUGAAGAUUCCAUCAGGCUGCUUUCACACUUGGCUUCUGUUCAGUUAAUCACAGCUGAAGAUCAUGUUUGGCGGGAAAAUGGAUUUAAUAAGAUGACACACUAACUCUUCCAUGGGACUCAUUUGUCUUUUAAGACGGUGUUUGGGGUGACAGGACAUUAAUGACAUUAGAAUUAUUUUUUUUUUAUUCAAUUAUUUUUUUGUGGUGGUGGUUGACAAUGUUCAUUCAUUGUCCCUUUAAUUGUAGUUCU